GGAUAUACAACAAUUCAACUUUGUGUUCGAAUUUGUGUGGUAAGGAUUCUUCCCGGUUGCCUUCUCAACCUCAAUUGGUUUCUGCCUAUUUUCAAAUAUUGCUGCAAGCCAAACCCACAAUUAAUUUCAGAAUUCUGGGAUGUGCUUUCUUGAAAUAUAAUUUUCUCUAAAAGUCAUUUUUAAACUGAUUUUCUCCCCUUAAAUAAUGAAAAUAUCCAAAAAGAAAAAACUUGACAAAUAUCCCACCUCUUACUCUUUAGCAAUCUAAUACUUAAAACACUAUUGUCAACUUUUAACACUGGAAAAAUAUCACAAAAAAUUCCCUAUAUAAACUAACAAAUAUUACCCAUUUUUAUACCCAAACAAAAUCUAAAACAUUUUUUCAGAAAAAAAAAAUUAUAGCAUAACCAAAAACCAAAAAGUUAAUAGAAAAUGAGAAAUGAAGUCACCGUUGGAUCUGUGUCCUUAUCACCGGCUGCAACAUGCUUUUGAGACUGAGUGCUUGGCUUGUUUUCAGAUUUCCACUUCUCUUCAGACUUCCCCUUGUUUUCAGAUUUCGCCUUGUUUUUUGGGUUCUCCAUUUUGACUCUGACGAGAAAAAUUAAACCCUAGUUGACGGCGCCGGAGGUAACUAUGAAUAAAUAGAGUGUUGUGCUGAAAUAGAGUACCUUAAAUGGGGAUAUGGCUUUAUGAAGGCUAGGGUUUAAGCGAUUGGUACUUGAUCAUCACGUCUUUUUUUCCUUUUAAUAAAUUAAGAUUUAAAUUAUUCUUAAACUAGUAAAAUAUGUUGACGACAAAAAUUAACAGUCUCGGGUAACAAUGUACAAAUUACAAGCCCCUCUAGUAUUGUUUUUGAGAUAUUGCCCGAGGGGUGGAUUUGUCGACACUGUGCCUGAGGGGCGAUCCUUUUAUGUGUUUAUUUUUCCUCUUUGCAUGUCAUUUGCUUGCUUAAAUUGUUAAAAAGGCAUUUUAUGAAGUUUAAAUUGCACUUAGUAAUUUUACACAUCUUUACUGCUUCCUUAUAGCCUAUAAUGUUCCUUACGUGNCACAUCUUUACUGCUUCCUUAUAGCCUAUAAUGUUCCUUACGUGAUUUCAUGCUUUCAGUCUUUAUUUAUGAUCACUUUACUCCCUGCACCUCGUGUGCAGAUUCAAGCACUGUUGAUCCUACUCGUGAGGGUUGAGAGCUCCCGCCAGAUUUUGGAGUCCACGAGGUAGCUGCUCGGCGUUCACAGCCCCGUGCCUCUCCCAUUUUAUCUCAUCUCUAUCUCUUUUCAAUUAUUUUGUAAUAUUUUGGUAGACAUUUCAGACUUGUAGUGUAUUGAUAGAUUCUCGUGACUAGUGAAACCGUGGUAUCGGGCUGUGUUGGGCUUAUUUUCGCAAAUUGUGAUGUUCAUUACUUAUACUUUGGGAUUUUUUAUCACGUUUUAGACUUAAUUCGUAUUGUUUAAUUACUUAAAACUGAAUGGGAAUGUGUCGACUGGCCUUGCCUUCACGAGAGGCACCAUCACGACCGGGUCCGGGUUUAGGGUCAUGACAAGUUGGUAAGAGAGCCUAGGUUACAUAGGGCUCACAAGUCAUGAGCAGGUUUAGUAGAGUCUUGUGGAUCGGUUCAGAGACGUCUGUAUUUAUCCUCGAGAGGCUGCAGAACCAUUAGGAAAAAUUUCAUAUUCUUGAAAUUCUUAUCAUGUGAAUUUGUUGUUCCGAGUACUAAACUUCUGUUAUUCUAUUCUCUCACAGAUGGUGAGGACACGCGCUAACGGUCAGGAUGGAUGACCACCAGUACCACCAGCUGUGGCCACUAGAGGCCAAGGACACGGUCGUGGUCGCGGUAAGGGCAGAGGUGUGGCCCGCACAACAACUAGGGAAGCACCUGCAAAUCCACCAGCUGCCCUAGUUCAGGAUCAGGUCCUAGUUGUGGAUGCUCAAGCAGCACCAGCUUAGGUACCAGCUGUGUCCAUUGUGAUUCCGGGUCUUCAGAAGGCCUUGGCUUAGAUUCUAUCAGCUUGCACUGGCCUAGCCUAGGCAGUGUUAGUCACUACAGCUGCAACUACUUCUCAGGUCGGGGGAGGCAAUAAGACUCCCGCCGGUCGCACACCUGAGCAAGUCGUGUAUUGACUUUAGAUACUGGGGGCACAUCCAGCGCAGCUGGUUGCAGCUGCUCAGGACUAUGUAGUUCCUUCCAUGCUAGAGGACGAGCAGCGCAGGUUGGAGAGGUUUGGCAGCCUCCGACCUUCAAUGGUAUAGAGGGCGAGGAUGCCCAAGAUUUCUUAUAUAAGUGUCAGACGAUGCUUCGUACAGCAGGUAUUCUGGAGACCAGCGGGGUCAUUU
rnacentral:lncRNA from 1 species